UGUGACAUCAGGAGUCCCUUCUCUGGAAAUUCUAUUGUAUCCUGGAGAGCAGAGCUCUUGGAAUCCCCUGUGAGGUCAAUAGUGUUGUAGCAACACCAAGUGCCUUUAGGAUAUUCGUUCAAUGUCUAUACAGUUUUUCUAUAGACAUGUUGUCAAGACUUAGGCAUCUACUUGAUAGAGAGAAUGGACUUCGUGGAGAUACCAGAGCAAGGCAGAAGGAAGCUGACCCUAGGUCUCACUGGAAAGAAUGGAGAAAUCAGUGGUCCUGGGGAAGAUGUAGGACUACUGGGAAGACACCAACUCAAACCUCCACCUCCACUGAGCAGGAGCAGCAGAUGACAAAGUUGGAGAAACUCACCCUUCAGCUACAGAGUAUAACAUAUGAGCGAAUUGAACUACAUGGAAUCCUGACCAGUUAUACAGAUAUGGAUUUGCAGAACAGGCUGAAUUCUUUUGGGAUGCUAAAAAAGGAGCAUAAGCAGGUGAUGUCGGCCUUGCAGAAAUUGCCCAUGGAAAUCAGUGAUGAUGUGAACAAGGUCAAACAGCUGAUUGAGGAGAAUGUAUCCUACAGUUACCUCCACAGCCAGGUCCUCCGAGAUUGGACUCAGCGGAAGGAGAGUGUACAUGUGCUGAGACUGAAGAACAGACAGCUGUGGAAGGAGCAGAUUGAACUGCAAGAGUCCUGUGAGGAGCUGAAGAGGCUCUUGAAGGAGGCCCAUGAGAUGAUCUGUGACCCUUCUGCUGAGCAGCAUCAGGUAGGCCGAGGCAGCAGGGCUAGGUGCCCACCUUCCAACCAUAAACAUAGAGACACCCAAAUAACCAUCCACUCAUCCAUCCAGACUCCCACCUACAUACCAUCCAACGGUUGAUUUCUGUGAUCAUUCCCAGGUCUUUCUGGAGAGUUAGCCUCUUGCAAGAAUCUGGAUAAUUGGCAAGCAAACCCUCCUGCUCUGCCAGAAGCUGCAGUACAUUGAGAGAGCUGUGUCAGUCACAUAUCACACACCUACAUGUCAUUAUGAUCAGAGGGCUGCUAUGCAGGGAGCUACUUAGAGAACAGCACAAAGCUUUCAUUGAUGAUGUCAGUGUCCUGUGGCUCAUUUGCUUUGCAAGGGUCAUGUGAGAUCACAGGGAGGAAGCAGCCUUCAAGGACUAGAGCACAGUGUCAGUGCCAAGAGCAAGAGAGCCUGGAUGAAAGACUGAAGAACCUGCUGAAGCAGAAGGAGGUGGUCACUCAGCAAGGAGACUUGGCAGAAAAGCUGCAACAUCACUUCAGUGUCUCUGAGAUGAGGUGGGAGCCCAGGCUGGGAGGAGUGGUUAGAACCAUGUAGGUCACCUGUAUCUGGAUCUCUGUCCUUUCGGGAUUCCCACCACCUGAAUAGUUCACAGCCACAGCAAGGGAAAGAACAUCUCAGGAUAUUGUACUGGCCCGGUCAACAAGAACUUCUCCAUGAAACACAAUGAUUGAUCUUUAGUGUUUCUGGGGUUAUGUGUUCCUUAUGCCCUUCUGGGCUCUCUGGAAUCUUCUCAGUGUCCCCUGUGUCUCCCCACAAAUCUCCCUAUGGCAGUCCUUAACCUAGCAGGAGGAGGCUUAGUUGUGGAGGACAGUGUGUGCUCCUGCCACUUUAUUUUCCUUCCAGAACAUCACCUUUAGAGAGAAGUUCCUACCUUUGCGCAGAUCUGGAUGCAGCACACUCCUGCUGAUUACAGGUUCUCUGCAGUGUGAAUCUGUUUCCUGUGAAAAGGUUUUUCUGUUACAAGAAGAUUGAGGAGUUGAGGAGUUGAACUGAGGCAGGAUUCUGUUCUUUACCAAUAAUCAGAUCCUUCACUGCUUUUCUUUUGUAGGCUCUCCUAGAGGGUCUACAUUCAAUGUCCAAGGUUGCUUACAUUCAUCUGUAUCUAAUCAGGGCCAUGUAUAUCUGCCCUGAAGUGUUACUUAGUCAUUACUACAUUGUUAUUUUUCUCUCAAAGUAAUAUAUCUAGACAACUGGAGAAAUGUGCUGUAUUUUCUUGCCCAGCACACUGUAUUUUUCAGCUCAUCUUCUAGCAGAUUUUAUAAGCUGAGAAAAAAAUCAAGGCCCAGGUAUACUCUGACCCUUCUCCCUUGGGGAAUGCAGGGAAUGCCCUCAGCUGAAAGGUCGUGCUGGAUUGUCCAGCUGACUAGAGCUGGUUCAGGCUCAAUAACUGACAUAAUAGGUCCCCACCAGGCCUGGUCCCUAACUGCCUUCCUGCUCUAGGUCAGAAAAUCUCCAGUCUGAGUUUGAACAGGCCACAGCCCAGGAUGAGAGCCUCCUGCAGACAGAGCUGCUGCAGCAGGAGCACUAAGUCUCACAGGCAAGUGAGCCACCAUUGCAUCCCAUCCCCAGCAAACAUGGUGUUGGUGGGAGACUGGGGGCUCUUGACCUUGGCUUCCAGUGUGAAUAGGCCUUGAUUUUUUCUGGCCUGUGGCCCAGCCAGGCUGCUUCUGGGUCUGAUUGCCUUUCCUUUUCAUGUAGCAGAUCUGGGGACAACUGAGGAGGCCAAAGAAACCACAGAUGCCUUGAACCUAUGACAUUCUAUACUCUGAGAUCAAGGCCUCCUCCUCAGAAGACACUCUUUUAGAGCUGUGAACUCACCAGUGAGGAGCAUACCAGCUGUCUUCCAGGUGAUCCAGCCCCAACAGAUCUAUUGGUCUGCUGACUUAGUCUUCUCAAAGAAAAGAAAGAAACCAAAAAUGAGCUUGAGACACUGAAAAUCUGAGCCAAGAUCUACUGAGAACCCUGACAUUCAAUAGCAAGUGGCCACUGUGAGGGGUACUACAACAUGAAGGGUAGAGAUGUUGGUAAGCAAGACUGUUUCUGUCGGUUUAAUGUUGAUGGCUUUGGCAAGCUGACUGAGUUCUCAGGCCUCCCUAUGUGGUGUGAAAUGUGUCAUGGAUGAUUGUGUUGAUGUCAAGCUGUUCCUGACCGACCACACCCAAAGGCAUCAUAUUUCAUUCUCCAGUUGAGUGUUGAAGUUGACACAAUGUCAUGCACCAGUGUUGCUGAAGAUAAUGCACCAAAGAGAUCUCCAGAGUCCAUCAUUCCUCGUAUUAGUCAUUUUUCCCUCCAUAUGUAAAAUGAGUGGGUAUUCUUCAGUUUCACAGCCUGGCCUGAAGUGACUGGUCCUGAGAAAGGAUUUACAGAAGACACCUGAGUCAUCUUUGAUGUUCAUGGGCACUCAGAGGCUGCCCAUGGAUUUGUUGGGUCUCCAGUAAGCAUAGAAUUGUCUGAAAGAAUCAAAUGAUGACCAAGACAUUACAGGAUCAGUAGUGGGUGAUAAUUUAUCAAAAGCUUCCCAAGGGGCACAAUGUUUGCUCUAGAAAAUGUCUCAUUGUUAGUCUCUGUGAGGACUUGGCCUACAAAGCCUGAAGGAGGCAUGGCUAUACUAGCUUUGAAAAGGCUUUUCACAAUCGUUGACUGCCUUCCUACCAUGUUUCCAAGGCCAGCCAGAGGCUGCAGGUCUGUGCUUUAAAUGUGUAGCAAGAGAAUGCUGCUGACCUUAAUUGUUUUUGUUUGGUUUUUGGUUGGGUUUUGUUUGCUUAGGUUUUUUGGGUUUUCUUUGUUAUAGAUUGAGCUUUUGCUAUUUAUUUGUUCUUUCAUUUGUUCUUGUUGUUUUUUGGGUAUUUUGAUAAGGAUAUUCACUGUUUAUGUUGACUGAUCUAUUUAAGCCCCUAUUUAGUAAAAUAACUGUAUUUUUAUUAAUAAUAAAGUGAUUUUGAACUCUUC